UUAGUGGCGGACGGGUGAGUAACGCGUGGGUAACCUGCCUCAUACAGGGGGAUAGCAGCUGGAAACGGCUGAUAAAACCGCAUAAGCGCACAGCAUCGCAUGAUGCAGUGUGAAAAACUCCGGUGGUAUGAGAUGGACCCGCGUCUGAUUAGCUGGUUGGUGAGGUAACGGCCCACCAAGGCGACGAUCAGUAGCCGGCCUGAGAGGGUGACCGGCCACAUUGGGACUGAGACACGGCCCAAACUCCUACGGGAGGCAGCGGUGGGGAAUAUUGCACAAUGGGGGAAACCCUGAUGCAGCGACGCCGCGUGAAGGAAGAAGUAUCUCGGUAUGUAAACUUCUAUCAGCAGGGAAGAUAAUGACGGUACCUGACUAAGAAGCCCCGGCUAACUACGUGCCAGCAGCCGCGGUAAUACGUAGGGGGCAAGCGUUAUCCGGAUUUACUGGGUGUAAAGGGAGCGUAGGCGGCGGAGCAAGUCAGAAGUGAAAGCCCGGGGCUCAACCCCGGGACGGCUUUUGAAACUGCCCUGCUUGAUUUCAGGAGAGGUAAGCGGAAUUCCUAGUGUAGCGGUGAAAUGCGUA
rnacentral:rRNA from 1 species